GUGGGGAAUAUUGGACAAUGGGCGAAAGCCUGAUCCAGCCAUGCCGCGUGAGUGAUGAAGGCCCUAGGGUUGUAAAGCUCUUUCACCGGUGAAGAUAAUGACGGUAACCGGAGAAGAAGCCCCGGCUAACUUCGUGCCAGCAGCCGCGGUAAUACGAAGGGGGCUAGCGUUGUUCGGAAUUACUGGGCGUAAAGCGCACGUAGGCGGACUAUUAAGUCAGGGGUGAAAUCCCGGGGCUCAACCCCGGAAGUGCCGUUGAUACUGGGUGGCUCGAGUGCGGAAGAGGGGAGUGGAAUUCCGAGUGUAGAGGUGAAAUUCGUAGAUAUUCGGAGGAACACCAGUGGCGAAGGCGGCUCACUGGUCCGGUACUGACGCUGAGGUGCGAAAGCGUGGGGAGCAAACAGGAUUAGAAACCCUUGUAGUCC
rnacentral:rRNA from 1 species